GAUGAACGCUAGCUACAGGCUUAACACAUGCAAGUCGAGGGGCAUCAGGAAGAAAGCUUGCUUUCUUUGCUGGCGACCGGCGCACGGGUGAGUAACACGUAUCCAACCUGCCCUUUACUCGGGGAUAGCCUUUCGAAAGAAAGAUUAAUACCCGAUAGCAUAAUGAUUCCGCAUGGUUUCAUUAUUAAAGGAUUCCGGUAAAGGAUGGGGAUGCGUUCCAUUAGGUUGUUGGUGGGGUAACGGCCCACCAAGCCUUCGAUGGAUAGGGGUUCUGAGAGGAAGGUCCCCCACAUUGGAACUGAGACACGGUCCAAACUCCUACGGGAGGCAGCAGUGAGGAAUAUUGGUCAAUGGGCGCUAGCCUGAACCAGCCAAGUAGCGUGAAGGAUGAAGGCUCUAUGGGUCGUAAACUUCUUUUAUAUAAGAAUAAAGUGCAGUAUGUAUACUGUUUUGUAUGUAUUAUAUGAAUAAGGAUCGGCUAACUCCGUGCCAGCAGCCGCGGUAAUACGGAGGAUCCGAGCGUUAUCCGGAUUUAUUGGGUUUAAAGGGAGCGUAGGUGGACUGGUAAGUCAGUUGUGAAAGUUUGCGGCUCAACCGUAAAAUUGCAGUUGAUACUGUCAGUCUUGAGUACAGUAGAGGUGGGCGGAAUUCGUGGUGUAGCGGUGAAAUGCUUAGAUAUCACGAAGAACUCCGAUUGCGAAGGCAGCUCACUGGACUGCAACUGACACUGAUGCUCGAAAGUGUGGGUAUCAAACAGGAUUAGAUACCCUGGUAGUCCACACAGUAAACGAUGAAUACUCGCUGUUUGCGAUAUACAGUAAGCGGCCAAGCGAAAGCAUUAAGUAUUCCACCUGGGGAGUACGCCGGCAACGGUGAAACUCAAAGGAAUUGACGGGGGCCCGCACAAGCGGAGGAACAUGUGGUUUAAUUCGAUGAUACGCGAGGAACCUUACCCGGGCUUAAAUUGCAGUGGAAUGAUGUGGAAACAUGUCAGUGAGCAAUCACCGCUGUGAAGGUGCUGCAUGGUUGUCGUCAGCUCGUGCCGUGAGGUGUCGGCUUAAGUGCCAUAACGAGCGCAACCCUUAUCUUCAGUUACUAACAGGUCAUGCUGAGGACUCUGGAGAGACUGCCGUCGUAAGAUGUGAGGAAGGUGGGGAUGACGUCAAAUCAGCACGGCCCUUACGUCCGGGGCUACACACGUGUUACAAUGGGGGGUACAGAAGGCAGCUAGCGGGUGACCGUAUGCUAAUCCCAAAAGCCUCUCUCAGCUCGGAUCGAAGUCUGCAACCCGACUUCGUGAAGCUGGAUUCGCUAGUAAUCGCGCAUCAGCCACGGCGCGGUGAAUACGUUCCCGGGUCUUGUACACACCGCCCGUCACACCAUGGGAGUUGGAAAUGCCCGAAGCCAGUGACCCAACCGCAAGGAGGGAGCUGCCGAAGGCAGGUUCGAU
rnacentral:rRNA from 1 species